UAUGUUGCGUAAUAUCGUAGGUUUACCAAUAAAUGUUUUAUCUUUGACGUAUAAAAUAUUAUUGUGAUAUAAGUGAUUUUGACUGCUAUUUUUCUAUUUGUUUGUUGUUAUAACCAGUUGCAUAUUAUAUGCAUUGGUUUAAUAAAAACUAUAACUGAAACAUAUCUCACUGGUAUCAUAGGUUUACCAAGUAAAUGUUUUUUCUUUGACGUUUAAAUCAUUUUUCGAAAACCGACGGUUUUUCCAACGGAUUUUCCAAUCGAAAGGUUUUUAUACUAGACAGUUUGCCACCCUCGCCAAAUAGAGUCAUUCCGUGGAGGAGAAAGAAUAAAUGAAAUAAACCUACGACAAUAACCGCUCAGUUAACUACAGAAUAUAUCAAAUUGAAGUCAACAAUAAAACAAUGAAGUGUAGCUGCUCAAAGGUUCUCUGGUUUGCUGGAAUAGCGUGUUUCAUCGUUGGGGUCAUCUUUGACUGGAUAAAUUUUGAGGGACUGCGUCAAAAUGACAUUGAGAUAGAAGAUACUGGAAACAAUGCCUGUGACUUUGCAUUGAAUGAAUAUCACUGGAUUUUCAUGGUGUCUGUUAUAUGCAAAAUGCUGUCAGGCUGUUUGGAAUAUUUGUUUGGAUACAUAUCUAUAAGGAAAGGAGGAAAAACAAGAAAUACAUUCGACACUCUCUCGUUAUCAUUCAGUGUGAUAACCUCAUGUUUUCAAGUAGCAGAUCUACUCCUACUGGUACUAUUUUCAUACGAGUGCCUAGACAAAGAAAACAGACAUCAUGUCUUUCGUUUUUUGGGUGACGACAAAGAUGAUGCCAUAGCAAGUAUUUUUGGUACAGCUGGUAUAAUAUUUAAUCUGACCAUCAAAAGAAACAUUUUAGAUAUUCUAAAGGCAUUGUACAAACCUUGUCCAGAUAACAAUCAUGGUUGGCUAAAGAUUUUAUCAAUCCUUUCUAUAAUUUCGAUUUUCGUGUGUUUAAGUCUUGCAGUUGCUCUUAUUAUAAAACUGGAUUACUAGCAGAACAGUUUGAAAUCAUGAUAAUGUAGACAGAUAUUUCUAUUUAUUUUCGCCAUCAGAUAAACCACUUUGACAGUAAUAAACAAUACCUAAUGAGUUAUAUCCAUCUAUAUUUAAGAAAAAAUAGCGGUCUUAGCGGUGUUUAUCGGUUAUUUAACAUUGGUUUGGAGUUUUGAUGCGUAGUAAUAGCCCACGAAUUGAUCACUCAUGUUAUUUUUUCAAGCGGAAAUAACGUCCAGUGCCGAUUUUCGUAUAACGCUGUUCGAUUUUGCAACCUACUGUUGCUAAGAAUUAGAAUUUAUUAAACAAAAGAAAUAAAAAGAAAAAAAAAUGUUUUUUUAUCAAGUUUUCAACAAUAAAACUUAUAUCUUAGACUGAAUUGUACUGUGUUUACAUCAGUGCCCCAUUUAUCAUUCUUAUUUGUUUGAAAUGACGUCAGCGUUUAUGAAUGAGUUGUAUACUUAGGAUGACGUCAUUACAGACUGGUGCCGUUUUGUCAAAAUAUUUUAUUAACUGAUUUGGUUCAAAUCUGUGGCGUUAGUGUAUGUGAGGUAUUAUUUCCGUAUUAUAUGAAAAGAAAAUAUUAUAAGAACUGAAAAUAUCAAUUAAAUGCUUUAUCAUUGUCGCUUAAAAAGGCUUUGCAAAUUAUAUAAUCGAGGGAGAAAACAUAACAGCCGCAUAUACAAGCAGUCCCUAACCAGUGUCUUUAGCGACAAAAUCACGAGGAGUGUUAGAAUUAUAAAUUCUAUUCCUUAGCUUGUAACCUCGUAUUUUAUAUAAUCCUUCAAACUUUAUAAUAUAACUCUAUUUUCAUGAGAAAUGUUACAUUGACAUAUAAACAUGUUUAUUUUUGAUGACUUAUCUUAAUAAACAUUCCCUUUAUGAAACUGUAUAUUGUGUAUGUAUUAUGUGUAUUAAACCACUUGUACAAAUGUUUAAAUUUAAUAUUAUAUCUUGAAAGACAAUAUAUAUGAAAAAGGUGUCAAUGAUAUAUACAUGUACAAAGAUGAAUAAUAAAAAGAGUCAAGAGUU